UUAUCGUGCGAUAAAUGGGAAACUUGUUAGGUCACGUAAUCGGCUGUCACGCACGAUGUUUCUGUGGACGACAAUGGCUGCCACAGUUGAGGGGGUUUGCAAACUUCUAGAGGGCAGAUGUGUCGACAGGAGCGUUGUUGCCAGGUUUAAAAAGCGUUUAUUGAUAAUGAAAUUAGCCUGCUUUAAAUAAAUUAUUGAUUAGCUAUAUUUUCAGUCUAAUUUUCAUCUAAUAGACCGCGAUGCGAGCCCGUGGAAAUUUGUAUUAUUUAUUUAUAUUUUGUGAUAACUUUUUGAUCAUUGCAUGACUUAUACUGUUGUUAUACUGUUAUACUGUUGUGUUACACUUAAACCUUGAAAUAAACUAUGAUCAGUUUGCUUA